AGUUGUCAGGUCGGAGGUCACUUGCUGGUGGGCUUGUAUGGGUCGGACCAGACCUUGACCCCUACAGCGCCACAGGGAAACAACAAGGACAAACGCCUGGUAGUUAACCCCUGCUUACCGACUGGUUGGAUGUCAGCCUGGUUAAUCCCGUCCCGGUUCACCUUCUGGACCUGCCCUGAACGAAAAAAAAAAGGGGAAAAGUCAGUUUACAGUCGUCAAACCUAUCAGCUUCAAAACCAGGAUGUGCAUCAACAUCAAGACCCUCUUUAAUUCACUUAUCAUCACUGUGUGUGUGUGUGUGUGUGUGUGUGUGUGUGUGUGUGUCUCACUGUAGUCUUCCGUGUGGGUCAGCGGGUGGAAGAAGAUGGGGUAAAACGCAGCGGCCACCGCCGUGACGAACCCGCCAAAGAUCAACGUGAUCCUAGUGUUC